GCUCCCUGCUCCGCGGCGGCCGAGGCGUCGUGGGAGCUGCGGGACGCGGUGGCAGCCCUCGCCGUGCGCCAUGCCGCCGACGAGGACGCGCUGCGGUGCCGCGCCGUCGCGCUGGACGCCGACGUCCGCCGCCUACAGGGCUCCCUCGCCCCCCUCGACCCCGCCACACUCGACAUUACGACUCCAUAUGCUAGCCACAGCGAGGGCGACGGCAACAUGGCGGAGGCGCAGGCGCCGGCCAAGAAGGGCGGCCAUGGCGACGGCCGCGCCGCCGACCUGCGCCUCCAGGGCAUUUCCGACGCCAUCCGCGUCGUCCCGCAUUUCCCCAAGCAAGGUCCGUCCACCCAUCUCCAUGCGAAACCAUUACUACUAACCAACGAUAACCCUCUUGUCUGA
rnacentral:rRNA from 1 species